rnacentral:tRNA from 1 species
GCACCAGUAGCGCAAUGGAUAGCGCAUCGGUCUUCGGAACCGAGUGUUGGGGGUUCGAGUCCCUUCUGGUGUG